rnacentral:lncRNA from 1 species
GCCGGAGCAGAAACUGGGCGCCUAGGCGCCAUGUCCAGGCGCCUAGGCGCCCCGAAUGCAGAAGGGAAGCAGAAUAUUGGCGCCUAGGCGCCACUUCCAUGGCGCCUAGGCGCCCCGGCAUGUAUAUAUAUAUGCAUUUUUUCCCUCUUUCAUAACACAACAUACACAACCCAAGACNAGCAUUGUGGCUAUGGGGUCUUCUAGAUGAUUUGGGGAUUGAGCAGGAUUGUGUGGACUUGUGGUGUGAUAGCCAGAGUGCGAUUCACUUGGCUAAGAAUCAGGUUCAUCAUGCUCGAACCAAGCAUAUUGACGUCAGGUAUCAUUUUGUGCGUGAUGUUAUAGAGGAAGGUGACAUUUCACUCUCGAAGGUGCACACAAAUGAGAACCCAGCUGACAUGUUAACCAAAGUUGUGACGGGUAGCAAGUUUCAACAUUGCUUGGACUUGCUUCACAUUAGUCCGUGUUGAUAUGCCCGAGAGGGCAUGGCCCUUCGGGGCGAGGUUGAAAUGAGGUAGAGUAUAUGAAGGUGGAGGUGAACUACGGAGGCUUGAUCCCGAGUUUUGGGUACGUAGGCAAUCAUGGUUUGAAUGAUGCAGCCGAGUUUUUUGGUGCUUGUUUCUUCUUCUUGUGUUCGUCCAAAAUUUGAGGUCUAUCAAAUGAUGUACGAGGUGGAGAAUUGUGAGAAAGAGGGAAGCAAGAAGAGAAGAAAGGGAAGAGAAGGCAAGCAGCGCCUAGGCGCUGCAUGGACAGCGCCUAGGCGCUGCCCAGUUUCUGCCGGAGCAGAAACUGGGCGCCUAGGCGCCAUGUCCAGGCGCCUAGGCGCCCCGAAUGCAGAAGGGAAGCAGAAUAUUGGCGCCUAGGCGCCACUUCCAUGGCGCCUAGGCGCCCCGGCAUGUAUAUAUAUAUGCAUUUUUUCCCUCUUUCAUAAU